GUCUCCCUCUAUAUGUAGAGCUCGUUAAAUUCCAUAUUUGCUUCAUGUGACCGAAAACCUGUGGGAAUAUACAAGUACAAAGAGUGUGAAUUAUGGCUGUGAAACAGGAUUUUAAAAUAUUCUCCUCUUAUACUUUCUGUGGAAAUUAAACACCUGAUUUGACACCUCGUGAAUUUUUCUCUCCAGGUUGUUUGGUUUGGAUGUCACAUGGUGACUGACCAGCCCAGGGGAGCCAACAAAAAACUGCCUUGCUCUGUGCAUCUAGUGGAUGGCAUCUCCAAGAGCUCCUCCCUAGAUUGUGAACUUCAUGAAAAUACGAGACGUGUCUCACUGAUGCCCCCGAAGUAUCUGACACAGCUUCUGACACGCACAGCAAGCAGCUUAUGAAUGUCUGGGAGCCGGGCAAUGGGACAGAUGUGGGGUCAAGGAAGACUUACAAGAGGUUCUUCCAGCAUCUAGCAAAUUUUUACAUAUUGUGGCUGCUGAGUUUUCUCAGCUGAAAUUAAUAUGGAAACAGGAGUUUAGAGGGCAAA
rnacentral:lncRNA from 1 species